ensembl:lncRNA
CACACUAUUCUUUGUUUUGUUUUAAAUAAAUGUUUUAUUUUAGAAUAAUUUUAGAUUAAUAGAAAAGUUGCAAAAAUAAUAUUAAAUGUUCCCAUGUAUACUUUACCUAUUUUCCUCGAUAUUAGCAACUUCCAUUAUCAGAGUACAUUUGUGAAGUAAACUACCAAAUUGAUAUAUUUGGACAUCACCUGUUUUUCCCACUAAUGCUCUUUUUCUGCCCCAGGAUCCAGUUUAAGAUGCCAUAUGAAAUUUAGUCAUCAUGAUUGUCAAGUAUCUCUAGUCUGUGAUGAUUUCUUAUAUUUCCCCAAACCUUGAGUCUCACUGAGCAGUAACCAGAGAUCCUGGCUUUGUCUGACCUAGUAGUCUGGCUCAGGAAAUCUGCUGAGAUUCUUUUCCCCAGAUCUGGACUACGAAGUGCUGUUCCCCUGCUCUGCCUCCCAACCACCACAAAAUGAGCAGCUUUCUUCCACCAUACAAUUCUGCCAUGAUAUUCCUGCCUGGGAACCAGCUGACUAUGGACCAAACCCUCUGAAACCAUGAGCCAAAUUAACCUUCUCUCCUUUAAGUGGUGGAUGUCAGAAUCAAGAAAGCUGCCCACGUUGUCGUGCCUCAUUGGUGAGGGAAGAGAUGACUAAACCUGUGGAACAGAGUGAGUGCUUUCAGAGCUGGGAGACCACCUGAUGUCCCUGUCUUCAUCUUCUUAGCCACAACACUGGGGCAGGACACUGUGCUCUCCCAUGGAGGGUGGUUAUUUCUGGAGAUUACUAAUUUUGGAGGGGAAAAAGGGUGGCUUUCUCAGAAGGAACACACAUGAAAGAGUAAAAGUCAUGGUAGUCUCUUAUUGAUGUGAACAUAUUGUGAGUAGACAACAUAUUUGCUCUUUGCAGCAAUGAGCAAGUUCCUGACUCUGAGUUCCAUUUGUCCUUACGUUGUAAAGUGGAAUCAUUUGUCAGCUUAGGUGAAGCCCCUGUGCCUGACCGAAAGCAAAGGUGCUGUGAAGUAUUGACUGAGUUUGGGUUCCUAAUGCAAAAUGCAAAAUGGGAAUUGAAACAUACUUGAUGAAAUUAAAACAUUAGUAUUGGCUUUCAGCUCUUGGUUCUCUAGCUCCUCUAAUAAAUGCAGGGAAUCUCAGAAACAAAAGCCAACAAACCAACAGCAAACAGCCAGGUGCCUCUGUGAGGUGGAGGAAGCACAGACCUCACUGCAAGAUCUGCAAAUUGAUUUUCCCCAGUGUGGACUCCAAUGGUUUCACCUCUAACUUUGACAUAUACUUCUCAUUUAUUUUAAGUAGAAUGCUUUUAUUUUUACCACUGGUAUGUGAGGACACUGUGACAUCUUAACUAAAUGAAACAAUCCUGAUUAACAUAUUAAGCCAUAUACAGGGAAUCUUAAGAAAAAUGCCAUAAAAAACCCAAGAUAUACACACUCAGCCUCUUAUUGGUGUUUAUAAACAUGCAUAUAGGCUGUGCUUUCUGCACUGUGGGGCUCACAACAGUGUGGACUUUCGGUUUCUGGACUCUGCCAAAGACAUCAAUUAGGAAUUUAAGAAGCAGCCUUUUAUUGCACAUGAAUCUGCAGAUGGUCUCUUGGAAUCAAAUAAAUUUAGUAUCACUGGGUCAGGAACCAACUGGGUGUUUGUGCCUCUCUGGCCCAGGAUGUCCAUAUUUAAUUCCAAACUUGGGACCUGGAGUAGAAUAUGAUGAUUCAGCCAUUUAUACCAAAAGUAACACAGGUACAGUGGCAUUUUUUUGUGGUACUGUGCCCACCCUGAGCUACAC